CCAGCUGGCCGGGCGGCCGCACCCGCGAAGCCGAAAGGCUGCGGGUGAGGAAAGUCCGGGCUCCAUGGAGACACGGUGCCGGUUAAUGGCCGGCGGGGGCGACCCCAGGGAAAGUGCCACAGAAAGCAAACCGCCACGGCAUCCGGUGUCCGCAAGGCCACCGGGAUCCGCGGCAAGGGUGAAAGGGUGGGGUAAGAGCCCACCGCGCGACUGGCAACAGGAGCGGCACGGUAAACCCCACCGGGAGCAAGACCGAAUAGGGGCGGUGCGAGGGGAAACCCUCGAGGGCUGUUUCCGGCUCACCGUCCGGGUAGGUUGCGUGAGGCGCAUGGCAACAUGCGCCCAAGAUGAAUGGCCGCCACGUUCUCGCGCCGCAAGGAGCGAGGGCCAUACAGAACCCGGCUUACAGGCCAGCUGGCAAU
rnacentral:RNase_P_RNA from 1 species